rnacentral:rRNA from 1 species
CCUACGGGUAGCAGCAGUGAGGAAUCUUGGUCAAUGGACGCAAGUCUGAACCAGCCAUGCCGCGUGCAGGAAGACGGCUCUAUGAGUUGUAAACUGCUUUUGUACGAGGGUAAACGCAGAUACGCGUAUCUGUCUGCAAGUAUCCUACGAAUAAGGAUCGGCUAACUCCGUUCCAGCAGCCGCGGUAAUACGGAGGAUUCAAGCGUUAUCCGGAUUUAUGGGGUUUAAAGGGCGCGUAGGCGGUCGGAUAAGUUAGAGGUGAAAUCCCGUGGCUCAACUUCGGAAUUGCCUCUGAUACUGUUAGGCUAGAGAGUAGUUGCGGUAGGCGGAAUGUAUGGUGUAGCGGUGAAAUGCUUAGAGAUCGUACAGAACACCGAUUGCGAAGGCAGCUUACCAAGCUACAUCUGACGUUGAGGCACGAAAGCGUGGGGAGCAAACAGGAUUAGAUACCCUAGUAGUC